rfam:Colinus virginianus strain Texas jcf7180006227028, whole genome shotgun sequence.
CAAAAGGCUCUUUUCAGAGCCACCCACAAUUUCUUUAAAAGAGCG